rnacentral:rRNA from 1 species
UACGUAGGUCCCAAGCGUUAUCCGGAUUUAUUGGGUUUAAAGGGUGCGUAGGCGGCUUAUUAAGUCAGUGGUGAAAGCCCCAAGCUUAACUUGGGAAUUGCCAUUGAUACUGAUGAGCUUGAGUAGAUUUGAGGCGGGCGGAAUGUGUCGUGUAGCGGUGAAAUGCUUAGAUAUGACACAGAACACCGAUUGCGUAGGCAGCUCGCUAAACUCUUACUGACGCUGAGGCACGAAAGCAUGGGGAUCAAACAGG